AUACGGGAGGCUCCAGUGGGGAAUAUUGGACAAUGGGGGAAACCCUGAUCCAGCAAUGCCGCGUGUGUGAAGAAGGCCUGCGGGUUGUAAAGCACUUUCGGUUGGGAGGACUGCUUCUAGCACUAAUAUUGUUGGAAGUUGACGUUACCUUCAGAAGAAGCACCGGCUAACUCCGUGCCAGCAGCCGCGGUAAUACGGGGGGUGCAAGCGUUAAUCGGAAUUACUGGGCGUAAAGCGCGCGUAGGCGGCUAGAUCAGUCGGGUGUGAAAGCCCCGGGCUUAACCUGGGAACUGCAUCCGAUACUGGCUAGCUUGAGUACAGGAGAGGAGAGUGGAAUUCCACAUGUAGCGGUGAAAUGCGUAGAUAUGUGGAGGAACACCAAUGGCGAAGGCAGCUCUCUGGCCUGAUACUGACGCUGAGGUGCGAAAGCGUGGGGAGCAAACAGGAUUAGAUACCCCAGUAGUC
rnacentral:rRNA from 1 species